rnacentral:rRNA from 1 species
ACGCUCGACACCUACAGGAGGCAGCAGUGGGGAAUAUUGCACAAUGGGGGAAACCCUGAUGCAGCAACGCCGCGUGAAGGAAGACGGUUUUCGGAUUGUAAACUUCUGUUCUUAGUGAAGAUAGUGACGGUAGCUAAGGAGCAAGCCACGGCUAACUACGUGCCAGCAGCCGCGGUAAUCUGAGCGGGCUGGCAAGGC